UGGUGGAGUGAUUUGUCUGCUUAAUUGCGAUAACGAGCGAGACCUUAACCUGCUAAAUAGCCAGGCUAGCUUUGGCUGGUCGCCGGCUUCUUAGAGGGACUAUCAACUCAAGUUGAUGGAAGUUUGAGGCAAUAACA
rnacentral:rRNA from 1 species